AACGACUCGGCGGCGGUCGCGUUAACUACACUAGUCAAGUCGAACGGGACGACCACUUUUGUAGCGGAUUAGCUUGCUAAGAGUGGAAAUGUUGGCGGCUAGUGACGGACGGGUGAGUAACGCGUGGGUAACCUGCCUUGCACUGGGGGAUAACACUUAGAAAUAGGUGCUAAUACCGCAUAAGCGCACGGAGCUGCAUGGCUCAGUGUGAAAAACUCCGGUGGUGCAAGAUGGACCCGCGUCUGAUUAGCUUGUUGCGGGGUAACGGCCCACCAAGGCGACGAUCAGUAGCCGGCCUGAGAGGGUGGACGGCCACAUUGGGACUGAGACACGGCCCAAACUCCUACGGGAGGCAGCAGUGGGGAAUAUUGGACAAUGGGGGGAACCCUGAUCCAGCGACGCCGCGUGAGUGAAGAAGUAUCUCGGUAUGUAAAGCUCUAUCAGCAGGGAAGAAAGAAAUGACGGUACCUGACCAAGAAGCCCCGGCUAACUCUGUG
rnacentral:rRNA from 1 species